UACCCGUUGCGUUGAACGGUUGUCGCUGUACUGUGAUUGUUGUUCGAGAGAUUUCAACGUUUUGACUAAUUUGCCAAUUAUUCUUAAAAUCGAUACGGAGACGAAUUAAACGAUCAACAAUUCCUAUCUUUAUCGUGGUGGUUUUUGACUUCUCUCCUGCGACGUCACAAUGUAGCGACCUCUGAUUUAUAUUUAUUUUUAUUAAGCUCGGCUAAAGAUGAUCUUACAAGAAUAAAGAUCGAAACGUUCCAUGUAAUUCAUCUUAUUAUUCAUUUAACUACUGCGAUCCUUAGUUCGAAGGCUGGAAGGUCUAACUUAUUUAUUUUUUAAAUCGUUUACGGCCUUUCUUUUCAAAUUUAUAAUUCUAUUAUUUAUACCGGCUGGAACAACAGGAAACAUACAACCAUUAGAUGUAUAUGGUUUUUGUUUGUGGAAAAAUUUCAUUAAACACUUUUCAGAUAUUGUAAUGCUUUUGAAUCUCGAAAUAAAUCUUCACGCAAGAAACAAUAUUUUUAAAUUACAAUCAUUAACUCAUGGUCAGUUUUCAUCGCCUAGAUUUAGAAAUCUAUUUUGAUACGCAUGGCAUAAAAGCGGGUAUGUGGAAAAUAAAUCGGAAGAAUUUGAAACACUAGUAGAAUAUUGUUUCAAAAAUCAGUUAAAAUCGACAUGUGAUAUUUGUGGCUCAACUGCAAUAAUUACUUGCGCAUGGUGCAAAAAAUCGCUUUGCAUAAA